UACGGGGGGGGCAAGCGUUGUUCGGAAUUACUGGGCGUAAAGGGUUUGUAGGUGGCCUGCUAAGUCAGACGUGAAAUCCCUCAGCUUAACUGGGGAACUGCGUGUGAUACUGGAUGGCUUGGAUUUGGGAGAGGGAUGCGGAAUUCCAGGUGUAGCGGUGAAAUGCGUAGAUAUCUGGAGGAACACCGGUGGCGAAGGCGGCAUCCUGGACCAAUAUUGACGCUGAGGAGCGAAAGCCAGGGGAGCAAACGGG
rnacentral:rRNA from 1 species